AUGCCUAACCAUGCAAGUCGAACGAGACCCUUCGGGGUUUAGUGGCGCACGGGUGAGUAGCGCGUGGGAACCUGCCCUGGAGUGGGGGAUAACCGAGGGAAACUUCGGCUAAUACCGCAUGAUCCCGGGAACCUCGAAAGGGGGGACCGGGCAAAGAUUUAUCGCUCUAGGAGGGGCCCGCGUCGGAUUAGGUAGUUGGUGGGGUAACGGCCUACCAAGCCUGUGAUCCGUAGCUGGUCUGAGAGGAUGAUCAGCCACACUGGGACUGAGACACGGCCCAGACUCCUACGGGAGGCAGCAGUGGGGAAUAUUGGACAAUGGGGGCAACCCUGAUCCAGCAAUGCCGCGUGAGUGAGGAAGGCCUUCGGGUUGUAAAGCUCUUUCGCACGCGACGAUGAUGACGGUAGCGUGAGAAGAAGCCCCGGCUAACUUCGUGCCAGCAGCCGCGGUAAUACGAAGGGGGCGAGCGUUGUUCGGAUUUACUGGGCGUAAAGGGCGCGCAAGCGGCGAUGUUUGUCAGGCGUGAAAGCCCCGGGCUCAACCUGGGAAUUGCGCAUGAAACGGCAUUGCUAGAGAUCGGGAGAGGAGAGUGGAAUUCCCAGUGUAGAGGUGAAAUUCGUAGAUAUUGGGAAGAACCCCGGUGGCGAAGGCGGCUCUCUGGAACGAUACUGACGCUGAAGCGCGAAAGCGUGGGGAGCUAACAGGAUUUAAUACCCUGGUAGUCCACGCUGGUAACCAAGUUGUGCAAAACAUGGGGGACCCUAACUCUUCCGGGUCGCGACUAAUGCAUAUAACACCCCUGCUGAGGGAGACCGCCCGCAGGGUUUAAUACUAAUAAAAUUGACGGGGGGCCCCACAUCCAGCGAACGAGGUGAUUAAUUCUUC
rnacentral:rRNA from 1 species